AAAUGGAACAGGGAGAGUUGAGAGCACAGUUGAGGUGGCAGAGAGCACAGCCGUGAGAGACCUUGGAUUUCGCUCAUGCUCAGAGUCAUGGAUAUGGCAUGGAGAUUGCAGAAAGAAUCAUUUCUCCCUGAUGAACAAUGGGAAAAACUGGAAUAGAACCCACGUCUGUGUUAUGAUUUGUGGUACAUCCACAGAAAUUUCUUGGUAUUAUUAAGGUACAGUAAGGAGAACUGGAGUGACAGCAUUAAUCUUUUGCUAUUCGUAGUAAAUGGCCUUCAUGUUCUUUAUGUUUGCCCCCUCCCUUUUAGUGGAGUCAUUGGAGAAUUCCUAUAUCACAGGUUCAAAUAGCAAGGAUAUACAAUUAUUAGAGUUACCUAUCCAUGAGAUGUAUCAUAACAGGUAAGCUAUGGAAAUAUAUUUCUUUGGUACUUCUUGUUCCCUGUGAUUUCUGGUUCUGGUAGAAUCAGAAAAGAGAGAAUAAUGAUUUAUUUCCAGGUGUGAGGCAUAUUUUAAUGGAUCACUGAUGCAAAUUAAAUCACAAGAUUCUCUUCCCCCUUAGAAUUGUUGUCCACUGAUUAUAAUCCACUUGGUACAAUCAUAUAAGUUAUCUAUCUUCUCUUCACAUAUUACAACCCUUCUUAAUGUCAUUAAAGUUAAAAUACAAAGAAACAAAUCAGAUAAAUUUACUGGAAUGCUCAUAAUUAUUUUGCUGUUGUGGUUUUUCUUAACAUUUGAGUGUAGGAAAAAAACCCAAAUUCCCAACUGCAGAAUGUUAGAACACUUACCAUCCAACAUAAUCUAUUUGUUUAAUUUCCUGUAAUAUAAAGCAUGCUCCAACCCAACAGAUUUUGUCAUCAGCGUUAACCUGAAUGUGGUUCAUGACUCUGUGAUUUCUGCCCUUUAUGGUUUUGUUACCUGAAUUAUUAUUCUGUCCCUUUUGAAUUUGAUUAAUCCAACUCAAUUUUCAAGUUUCAAUUUCUUUGUUUCUUUGAAAAUUUUUCUUCCAUCACAAUAAGCUAAAUUAAUGGCUUUCUCUUUCAUAUUCCCACAGCAUUAUAUUUUUAGUCAACAGCUGUGAAUGUAUCUGUUCUGCUAGACUUUUAGCUCCUUGAAGGUAUAAAACAUGUUUUACUCAUUAUUAUGUAUCCAUUUAUGGUACCGAGAACACUUUAAUCCUGGCUGAAGUACGACGUUCUUCAAUAACUUGAUAAAAUAUAUGAGAUUUUUCGUAGGCAAAGGGAGUACUUAGAAUGUCAAAGAGGAGAUUUUUUAUUGUUUUAAUAUAUUAUUUUGAUAAUUUACUUUUUUAAGGGAAGAACUAUCUGAGUCAGGGAAAUCAAUUAAGUAACAGUUAAAAGAAAUUAAGAAAAAUUUAGAAAUAAAAUUAAGUGGUACAAUCUAAUUAGAUAUGAGGUAUGAAGGAAAGAGAGAGACUAUGAUAAUUUUAAGUUUUCAUCUUGAAUUUGUACACAAGGAAAACUGUUAAUUAUAUGUAUGGUAUUUUUGUGUUUAGAACUGAUAUCAAGUGUAAGUUUUAAUAUGUCAAGUUUAUGGUGCUUGUGAGAAACACAUGGACAUAAAAUGCAUUUCAGCUUGGAGCUCAAUGGGAGAUGACUGUAAUGGAAAAAUGAUUUUAAGUAUCCACCUAUAAUUAUAGUCAACUUUAAUUAUCAAAUAUUUAUCAGUAAUUCCUAUGUACUUGUCAUUGGGGAUACAGAUGAAUAAAUUACAAAUCCAUAUCAUCAAGGGAAAUUUGAACCUGGCAAGGAAGACUUUCAGUCAAUAUAAGUAAAAUCCAUAGAAUGAGUGAUAACAUCCAAAAUGAAUUGGUAGACUGAGAAAAGGUGAAGAUAAAAGAUAAACUCCUAGAUAUCCACACUUUAUAUAAAUGGGACAGGAAAAUAGGAAAAUUAACACAAGUGUUUAAGAAUAAAUGAUUAAAGAAGUAGGGAGAAAAAAGGAAGGCAUGAUGCCAUGGGAGCUAAUGAAGAAGAGCUUCAAGAAUAACCUAAUCAACAGUGAAAGCACCUCAAAGAGGUUAAAUAAUACACAAAAGAAAUGACAAAUGCUGCUUAUUAUCUGCCUAUAAUGAGCCACAAACUGGAAAAAACCUUUUUAUCUUAUGUUUUACUUAACCUUAAAAUAGUCUAUAUAAAUAUCAUUAUCCCUAAAUUUCAGAUCGGGAAACUGAAGUUCAUAAAGAAUAUGUAAAUUUCUUAAGUUCACAUGAGUAGUAAGCAGCAGAACGCAGGCUCAAAUCCCGGACAGCCUAUUUCCAAAGCUCACGAUAUGUCUAAAAAUAAACAAUUAGUUGACCAUUAAAUGAUUAUUCCGGUAAGAGUAUUAUAAAUGAAAUAAUAUAAAGUUAUAAAUGAAAUAUAUAUAUGGAGUUAUAUAACUGAAGUAAUAUAGGUUAAAUGUUGAUAACAUUUUACUAUUCUUUUUUUUUUAAAAAACGUUCAACAGAUUCUGUUUUUAUUUUUUUUAAUUUUAUUUAUUUAUUUUUUCCCCAAAGCCCCAGUAAAUAGUUGUAUGUCAUAGUUGCACCUCCUUCUAGAUGCUGUAUGUGGAACGCGGCCUCAGCAUGGCGGGAGAAGCAGUGCGUCGGUGCGCGCCCGGGAUCCGAACCCGGGGCGCCAGCAGCGGAGCGCGCGCACUUAACCGCUAAGCCACAGGCCCGGCCCCCAUUUUAUUAUUCUUCAAACACAUAUUUCUGAAGUGUUUACUAAGUUCUGCAACAUGGACUAAAUGCUGGGGAUAUGACAAUAAGCCUUGCCCUCAUAAAUCUUACAGACGCUUAUAAUAUAAGGUGAAUCAAAACAAUAUAUCAAGAAUUAUGCCAAUGGUUAACUACAGUUAUGAUGUUAUGUAUACAAAAAAUGAAAAGUACAGUGCUCAAAAAGGAUAGAGGUGGCUUGAAGUCUGAAUGAGGAAGAAGCAAUAUAAUAAGGCUUAAAUUCCAGAUUUUCUCUUAAGAUACUUAGACGUGCAUGGAAGACAAGAUAUCUUAUAUCUCAAGUGAAAAUUCAUGAUACCAGGGAGAGUUUUAAAGACAUUAUUACUUACUUCAGGAUAGGGCCCAAUGAAGGGGGAAAGGAAAGAGUAGGAUAGAGAUAGGUAAAUUGGAAAAGAGUGCGGGGGGGCUCUUUGGAAAGGCUAGUUUGGAAUGAAUGGGAACCCAUUUCACAGUGAAUGCAGAAAAGAAAAUUAUCAUCUCUGCAGAUAUAGACAUGAUGAUAUUUGGGGGAGUGGGAGUUAGAUCAUCUGAUGACUUCUGUUUUUGCUUAUCAUCUGCUGAAUGUUAGAGUAUAGGGAUGCUAUUAAAUAGGAAGCUUGAGAAGAAUAAAAAAUGUUUUAAAAUUCCACAGAGAGGGGCUGGCCCGGUGGUGUAGUGGUUAAAGUUCACACACUCUGCUUUGGCAGCCUGGGGUUCACAGGUUUGGAUCCUAGGCAUGGACCUAUGCGCGGCUUAUCAAGCCAUGCUGUGGCAGGUGUCCCACAUAUAAAGUAGAGGAAGAUGGGCACGGAUGUUAGGCCAGAGCCAAUAUUCCUCAGCAAAUGAGGAUUGGCAAUGGAUGUUAGCUCAGGGCUAAUCUUCCUCACAAAAAACAAAAAAAUUCACAGAGAGAAAGGGGACAAGGGACAAGAAGUGAAAUGAUUGCUGAGUGGAAUUUAGAUGACAUGAAUCUGGUUUGUUGCACUUGAAUUAGCUCCCAGUGGUACAAAGGAGUAAUUCUAGCUGAUGUUUCCUUUGUUUACAGCUAUUCAUUAAAUUAAAUGUCUUCCAUCACCUGUCUGCUGGAUGGAUCUGAAUUGUACCCUCAACAAGACAAAGUAGAGAGCAGAGACUAGUUCAAAAUUUUGCAUUUUGACUUGUGAGUUAACCUGUCCCUUUCUUCUUGUCAAUAAUAAAAAAAAAUCUGUUUUGCUAAAUUUGAAGAUGCUUUUUCUGACAGUCAUCUCCACAUACGGUCAAAGAGGUAUAAAGAAAAGGCAAGAAACUUUGAGAGCAUUUGUCUGUAAUCAGGUAAUUCUUUUUUAGCAAAAAAGCAAUUCCAUUUAUAAUGAGUUUCUUGGAAUUGAGAGCACUGGAGGUAAAAAUUCAGAAGCUUUGCUAUACUUCCCCGCCCCUCCUUUCACAUUACUGCUCCAAGCUUUCCUAGAGCACUAAGAAAUGGAGAGAAGGCACAAGUCAGCGUCAAAUCAUUGUCAAGGAUAUUAUCCUGUGCAUUAUAAAAUAAAGUGUCCCCUUGGAUCCAAGAAAACUCUGUUUUGUUUCUACUACUUUACGUAUUGUUUAAAUAAAUAGUAUAAGCUUGUAUUCUUUGCUAGAGAAAGAGUAUGACAGUUUUUUAAGUGAGUUAUAAUCAACGUGACCAUAUGAUUUAUUGUUCAAACCAGAAUACUUUGAGAGUGAAAGGAGGCAUUAUUGAUAAUUACACCAAGACACUGGGCGUAAAUCAGAAGUGUCAUGGGGAAACCAAGAUUGCUCCAUGACCUCUUGGGUGAAAUUGGAAAUAGAAGGCUCAGAGGUAGUUUUGGUCCUAGACAGUUGAGGGCUCUAAUGAAUUCUCACACUAAGGAAUCACCAUAGCUAUUGUCACUUUCUUUUCUUUUAACUAAAAUGAUCUAAGGACAAAAGAAUGAAAAGUUUUGGAACUAAUAGAUUGAAUUUAUGAGAUAAUUGUCUAUUUUUCAAGAUAAAUAAAGCACAUAACUCAUUUUUAUUUUUUGUUGUUGUUACAGGUUUGGCACCCCCAUAAAUAUUUCAGUGCUCAAACAAUGAAGUAUGCAGUAUUCAAUGGAAAUGAAAUAACGGGAAAAUCUAAUGACUCUAGUAGUUAUAAUGUUUGUGAAAACAAAGUAGAUAUACCAAAUUCUCAAUGUUAGGAAAAUGCAAACACUUCUAGCUUAUUAUAAUAGUGUGGAACACAAAAAUGACCAUGUAAGCUGAAACUAUGCAAAAACAAUCUCAGAAUCAAAGAGAAAAAUUUGAUUUUGUUGUGACCUCUGAAACUUUUUGUCAGAACAUUAAAAACUGUCUUACUGCUGAUUAUAAAUAUAUAGGGAAGUGAAAAUAGUAAAAUUAAUAUUAGUACAUUGUAAUUUAAACAUUGAGCAUUAAAGUGGUUUAUUUCAGUUAUCAAGAA